AACGAACGCUGGCGGCAUGCCUAACACAUGCAAGUCGAACGCCUGUAGCAAUACAGGAGUGGCGCACGGGUGAGUAACGCGUGGGAACCUGCCUAGUGGUAAGGAAUAACCGCGGGAAACUGCGGCUAAUACCUUAUGAGCCCUACGGGGGAAAGAUUUAUCGCCAUUAGAGGGGCCCCGCGUCCGAUUAGCUAGUUGGUGAGGUAACGGCUCACCAAGGCUCCGAUCGGUAGCCGGUCUGAGAGGAUGAUCAGCCACACUGGGACUGAGACACGGCCCAGACUCCUACGGGAGGCAGCAGUGGGGAGUAUUGGACAAUGGGGGCAACCCUGAUCCAGCAAUGCCGCGUGAGUGAUGAAGGCCUUAGGGUUGUAAGCUCUUUCGACGGGGAAGAUGAUGACGGUACCCGUAGAAGAAGCCCCGGCUAACUUCGUGCCAGCAGCCGCGGUAA
rnacentral:rRNA from 1 species